rnacentral:lncRNA from 1 species
CAGCCCUCGAGUCCUGUGGUGUUGCUAGUUAUUUUAAUUGAGUGACACACAAGGUGGGUAUGAAUGAAUUUUACAGCCAAUUAGGGCUAAGCAUGGAUUGUACAGGAAAGAGAGUCUUUUUAGUGCAAAUUUAUGGUCCACUCAAGACACAUAACUUAUGACAGGACUAGUAACCGCAGCUGAGCAGGCUUCUUUCCGGAGCCUCUUGUCCUCUAAACGGGUUUUUCUGGACACUUGCAGUAGGUAAGGAGGCUGUCGACUAUGGAACUGAGCGAAGACAGGUUCGGGGCUCACCCUUACCGAUCCGCUCCGCAAACCUCGGGAAUCCCUCUGCCUCUCUGUUCUGUUGUUCUUACCUAAACAAUAAGCUAUCGGCCUCAGCUGUCUCCGGGAAACUUUGAACUCUAAGAGGGCAGGUUUUACUUGUUCUCCUCGAAAUGCAUUUCAGACUGGGAGUGGAGUGUGGGAGCGGGAACAUUAAGUUAGAGCAGGCUGCAAACCCUCCACCUGGAAAUGUGUCUGCACUGCUGUCACCAGCCUGUCUGGGUCUCGGCUCUGUCCUUCCCUUGGUGUGUCCUGGGGUAGGCGUUGAAUGAGAAAACCAUGGUUGCAGAGGCAACACAUCCUUUCCUUGAACAGUGUGCACUUGAGGAACGAAUUAAGACCCGUAAACAAGGAUGAAAGCCCCCGCCCCGCAGACUUCAGCUCCUCCUCCAUGAAGGACGCCGCCUGGGAGGUGAGUCCAGGCCGGGCCAGGGAGGGCCUCCUGUGGGAAGGUGCAUUUUCACCUUACAGCCGGGAAGUAGACAGCUGCGUCACAGUUUCACUCAUGCCGGUCUCUUCCUGUGCACAUUCAAUGUUAACAUUAUUCUGGCAAAAGCCUUGCUGCAGAUAGUCUCUCCGGUCCCUCCUACAUCUCUUUCCAGAAGACAGUUUAAAAGGACACAUUUCAUCACCUCUCAGAAGGGGUUAACAUCACAGAAUUCCAAGUCUGAGGGUGGAGCCCUGAUCCUGAGAAGGUUUUGUUGAGUUCGGGACAGUAUUUCUUUACCCAUCCUUCAUGAAGAUAAAAAAUGAGGCAAAAUAGACACUAAAAUGGUCUCUGACAUCUCCUCAUGCCACCAGACAAGGAGUAACCAUGGUAACAAGAAGCCUAGAAAAAUUGGGGAAUGAGGAAGACCAGGAAUGAGAGCUCCCCUCAGCCCUGGGGGGACCUGAGUGUCCACAGCUGAGCCUUCUCUGCUUCCCUUUUCUCUUCUGGAUUCUGAUGGAGGAUAUUUUCAUCUUCCUCCCAAAAUCAUCAGAAAGCAUAAGGACAUAUAUAAACCGCUUUGCAAAAAGAGAGUGUAUGGAAUAAAAGAGAAAAUGAAGAAGAGGAGAAAGGCUGGAGUGCAAUGGUGUGAUCUCAGCUCACUGCAGCCUCAACCUCCCUGGCUCAGGUGAUUCUCCCACCUCAGCUUCCUGAUUAACUGGGAUUACAGUAAUGGUGAAAUUGCCGGUAAUCGCUAAGUAAAAACCACUGAAGAACAGGACAGAAGCCAAUGACCACCUCACCUCCACCGAGUGCCCUGCAGGAGCUGGGAGAUGGGAACAUCACUAGACCACGAGCCGGAAUUGCUGCAGGAGGAUUCCCACACUCUGGGCCUCCGUGGGCACCACGAGGACUGGACGUGCGACCCCAGCUCUCUGGGUCUCAGUUUCGUCUCCUGCAGAGCAUCUGAGCUAGACCGUCUCUAAAAUUUCAUCAAGCUCCUGUAUUCCAUUCUAUUCUGAGAUGCCCAAUUCUUAUGCCUGCUAAAAACCACAGUGAGAAAUAAUAACCUAUGUCCACAUUUUUGUUUCCUAGGAGAAAUAUCAACAUGCGUCUGCCAAAUAAAAUAUUGUAUUAAAUGAGUUAUUUCAAAAAGUAUUCUUUGACCACCUCAACAUGUGUUAAAAGGAAUGCCACAUGUUAAAAGGAAUGCCUCAUGUUACACGGAGUCCUUCUAGGGU